rnacentral:rRNA from 1 species
AAAUUGAAGAGUUUGAUCAUGGCUCAGAUUGAACGCUGGCGGCAGGCCUAACACAUGCAAGUCGAACGGUAACAGGAAGCAGCUUGCUGCUUUGCUGACGAGUGGCGGACGGGUGAGUAAUGUCUGGGAAACUGCCUGAUGGAGGGGGAUAACUACUGGAAACGGUAGCUAAUACCGCAUAACGUCGCAAGACCAAAGAGGGGGACCUUCGGGCCUCUUGCCAUCGGAUGUGCCCAGAUGGGAUUAGCUUGUUGGUGGGGUAACGGCUCACCAAGGCGACGAUCCCUAGCUGGUCUGAGAGGAUGACCAGCCACACUGGAACUGAGACACGGUCCAGACUCCUACGGGAGGCAGCAGUGGGGAAUAUUGCACAAUGGGCGCAAGCCUGAUGCAGCCAUGCCGCGUGUAUGAAGAAGGCCUUCGGGUUGUAAAGUACUUUCAGCGGGGAGGAAGGGAGUAAAGUUA